UACGAAGGGUGCAAGCGUUACUCGGAAUUACUGGGCGUAAAGCGUGCGUAGGUGGUUCGUUAAGUCUGAUGUGAAAGCCCUGGGCUCAACCUGGGAAUGGCAUUGGAAACUGGCGACCUAGAGUGCGGUAGAGGGUAGUGGAAUUCCGCGUGUAGCAGUGAAAUGCGUAGAGAUGCGGAGGAACACCGAUGGCGAAGGCAGCCCCCUGGGCUGACACUGACGCUCAGGCACGAAAGCGUGGGGAGCAAACAGG
rnacentral:rRNA from 1 species